CCGCGGUGAAUACGUUCUCGGGCCUUGUACACACCGCCCGUCACACCAUGGGAGUCGAUAACACCCGAAGUCUGUAGCCUGAGGCAAGAGGGCGCAGCCGAAGGUGGGAUUGAUGACUGGGGUGAAGUCGUAACAAGGUAUC
rnacentral:rRNA from 1 species